CCUACGGGUGGCAGCAGUGAGGAAUAUUGGUCAAUGGACGAGAGUCUGAACCAGCCAAGUAGCGUGAAGGAUGACUGCCCUAUGGGUUGUAAACUUCUUUUAUAUGGGAAUAAAACGUUCCACGUGUGGGAUUUUGUAUGUACCAUAUGAAUAAGGGUCGGCUAACUCCGUUCCAGCAGCCGCGGUAAUACGGAGGCUCCGAACGUUAUCCGGAUUUAUUGGGUUUAAAGGGAGCGUAGGUGGAUUGUUAAGUCAGUUGUGAAAGUUUGCGGCUCAACCGUAAAAUUGCAGUUGAAACUGGCAGUCUUGAGUACAGUAGAGGUGGGCGGAAUUCGUGGUGUAGCGGUGAAAUGCUUAGAUAUCACGAAGAACUCCGAUUGCGAAGGCAGUUCACUGGACUGCAACUGACACUGAGGCUCGAAAGUGUGGGUAUCAAACAGGAUUAGAUACCCGAGUAGUC
rnacentral:rRNA from 1 species